rnacentral:rRNA from 1 species
CCUACGGGAGGCUGCAGUGGGGAAUCUUGCGCAAUGGGCGAAAGCCUGACGCAGCGACGCCGCGUGCGGGAUGACGGCCUUCGGGUUGUAAACCGCUGUCGGGAGGGACGAAGCUCUGACGGUACCUCCAAAGGAAGCACCGGCUAACUCUGUGCCAGCAGCCGCGGUAAUACAGAGGGUGCGAGCGUUGUCCGGAAUCACUGGGCGUAAAGGGCGCGUAGGCGGCCUGGUAAGUCGGGGGUGAAACGCUGCGGCUCAACCGCAGCACUGCCUUCGAGACUGUCAGGCUUGAGCACGGUAGAGGCUGGUGGAAUUCCCGGUGUAGCGGUGGAAUGCGUAGAGAUCGGGAAGAACAUCGGUGGCGAAGGCGGCCAGCUGGGCCGUUGCUGACGCUGAGGCGCGACAGCGUGGGGAGCAAACAGGAUUAGAUACCCCUGUAGUCCU